AAACCAACAGGGAUUGCCCUAGUAACGGCGAGUGAAGCGGCAACAGCUCAAAUUUGAAAGCUGGCCUUCGGGUCCGCAUUGUAAUUUGUAGAGGAUGCUUUGGGUGAAACGCCAGUCUAAGUUCCUUGGAACAGGACGUCAUAGAGGGUGAGAAUCCCGUAUGUGACUGGAAAUGUUAACCUAUGUAAAGCUCCUUCGACGAGUCGAGUUGUUUGGGAAUGCAGCUCUAAAUGGGAGGUAAAUUUCUUCUAAAGCUAAAUAUUGGCGAGAGACCGAUAGCGCACAAGUAGAGUGAUCGAAAGAUGAAAAGCACUUUGGAAAGAGAGUUAAAAAGCACGUGAAAUUGUUGAAAGGGAAGCGCUUGCAAUCAGACUUGUUUAAACUGUUCGGCCGGUCUUCUGACCGGUUUACUCAGUUUGGACAGGCCAGCAUCAGUUUCGGCGGCCGGAUAAAGGCUCUGGGAAUGUGGCCUUCACUUCGGUGAAGGUGUUAUAGCCCAGGGUGUAAUACGGCCAGCCGGGACUGAGGUCCGCGCUUCGGCUAGGAUGCUGGCGUAAUGGUUGUAAGCGACCC
rnacentral:rRNA from 1 species